AGUGAACGCUGGCGGUAGGCCUAACACAUGCAAGUCGAACGGCAGCACAGUAAGAGCUUGCUCUUACGGGUGGCGAGUGGCGGACGGGUGAGGAAUACAUCGGAAUCUACUUUUUCGUGGGGGAUAACGUAGGGAAACUUACGCUAAUACCGCAUACGACCUACGGGUGAAAGCAGGGGAUCUUCGGACCUCGCGCGAUUGAAUGAGCCGAUGUCGGAUUAGCUAGUUGGCGGGGUAAAGGCCCACCAAGGCGACGAUCCGUAGCUGGUCUGAGAGGAUGCUCAGACACACUGGAACUGAGACACGGUCCAGGCUCCUACGGGAGGCAGCAGUGGAGAAUAUUGGACAAUGGGCGCAAGCCUGAUCCAGCCAUACCGCGUGGGUGAAGAAGCCCUUCGGGUUGUAAAGCCCUUUUGUUGGGAAAGAAAAGCAGCAGGUUAAUACCCCGCUGUUCUGACGGUACCCAAAGAAUAAGCACCGGCUAACUUCGUG
rnacentral:rRNA from 1 species